UUUUAUAACAUUUUCAAGUGGGCUUAUCAUAAUCCAUAAAAGACUGAGAAUUGUAUUAGCUUUCAAUUCUGAUACUUUUGCAAAAAAUUUACUAUAUUGUAGUGCUUUCUAUGCCAACAGAGAAACUUUGAAGUAUUGUGAAAACUGUCUCACAACCCCUUGUGUUUCUCUGCAGGACUCUGCCGUGCCUUUCUCUCAGUGAUGAAUGCCUGGGUCCACUUCUUCAUGUGUUACGGGGAGCACAGCAGUGACGUACCUCCUUCUUAGGAGCUAUCACCCCCGGGGCAGAGAUGGGAUUAGGUUGAUGGGACUCUUAUACCAUGGAUGAAUAGGAUUUGAGAUGUUUUUCCACCAGGGUCUGAUGGCUUGCAACAAAAUCAAGUCACUAGGCCUUUUCUGCAUGCAGAGAACCUUCUGGGACAUAAAGGCCUUUGCCUUGAGUAGGAAGCAGGAGAACAGAAGUCGUCCACAGUGUCAGGAUUUCACUGAGAGUUUGCUGGGGCUCAAGAGACCUGAGAGCAUAAUGGUCAGUGGAGAGCCUCAUUCUUCCCUUUCCUUUCUCUGGCAGUGCCCUCCACACACUCAGGAGAGACAGCUACACAGUCUGCAUGACAACUUCUAGAAAGAAGUGGGAGCAGCAAGGGUCUCAACAGGGGGCUAAGACCAAAGGGUGAAGACAUGCAGGCUCCAGUCAAUGAGGGAGAGGAAGGAGGAAAUAGAGAGCUCCCAGCUUUGAUGCUUGUAGGGAUUAUUGAAUUAGGGGCUCAAAGUCUGGCAGGAGGAAGACCAGCAGCAACUGACUGGGCAGACUUCCCAGGACGAUGCAGCCACUCCUGCUCCUGGUGGUCCUUCUCCUGCCUCCCAGGGCUAGGGCAGGGCAGAUCAUCGGAGGCCAAGAGGCCAGGCCCCAUUCCCACCCUUACAUGGCAUAUAUUCAGAUCCAGAGACCAGGGUAUCUGACCACUUGUGGGGGGUUUCUGGUGCGAGAAGACUUUGUGAUGACAGC